rnacentral:rRNA from 1 species
UUCUGACCGUAAACGAUGCCAACUAGCGAUCCGCCGGCGGCUACCAGGCCCUGGUGGGGAGCUUCCCGGAAACGAAAGUCUUCCGGUUCCGGGGGAAGUAUGGUUGCAAAGCUGAAACUUAAAGGAAUUGACGGAAGGGCACCACCAGGAGUGGAGCCUGCGGCUUAAUUUGACUCAACACGGGAAAACUCACCCGGCCCGGACACCGUAAGGAUUGACAGAUUGAUAGCUUUUUCAUGAUUCGGUGGUUGGUGGUGCAUGGCCGUUCUUAGUUCGUGGAUCGAUUUGUCUGGUUUAUUCCGAUAACGAGCGAGACUCCAGCCUACUAACUAGUACGAGCAUUGCCUCUGUGCUCGGCACUUCUUAGAGGGAUUGGCUGCGUCUAGCGGCACGAAACGGAGCAAUAACAGGUCUGUGAUGCCCUUAGAUGUCCGGGGCUGCACGCGCGCUACACUGGCAAAGGCAACGUGCUUGUCCGUCUCCGAAAGGAGCCGGUAAACCCUUGAAAAUUUGCCGUGAUUGGGAUCGGAAAUUGCAAUUAUUUUCCGUGAACGAGGAAUUCCUAGUAAGUGCGAGUCAUCAGCUCGCGUUG